GACGAACGCUGGCGGCGUGCCUAAUACAUGCAAGUCGAGCGGACCACUUCGGUGGUCAGCGGCGGACGGGUGAGUAACACGUGGGCAACCUGCCUGUAAGACUGGGAUAACACCGGGAAACCGGUGCUAAUACCGGAUAAUCCUUUCCUUCACAUGAGGGAAAGCUGAAAGACGGUUUCGGCUGUCACUUACAGAUGGGCCCGCGGCGCAUUAGCUAGUUGGUGAGGUAAUGGCUCACCAAGGCAACGAUGCGUAGCCGACCUGAGAGGGUGAUCGGCCACACUGGGACUGAGACACGGCCCAGACUCCUACGGGAGGCAGCAGUAGGGAAUCUUCCGCAAUGGACGAAAGUCUGACGGAGCAACGCCGCGUGAGCGAUGAAGGCCUUCGGGUCGUAAAGCUCUGUUGUCAGGGAAGAACAAGUACCGGAGUAACUGCCGGUACCUUGACGGUACCUGACCAGAAAGCCACGGCUAACUACGUGCCAGCCGCCGCUGUAAGAC
rnacentral:rRNA from 1 species